AGCGGCGGACGGGUGAGUAACGCGUGGGUAACCUGCCCUAUACACACGGAUAACAUACCGAAAGGUAUGCUAAUACGAGAUAAUAUAAGAGAUUCGCAUGGAUUUCUUAUCAAAGCUGAGGCGGUAUAGGAUGGACCCGCGUCUGAUUAGCUAGUUGGUAAGGUAACGGCUUACCAAGGCGACGAUCAGUAGCCGACCUGAGAGGGUGAUCGGCCACAUUGGAACUGAGACACGGUCCAAACUCCUACGGGAGGCAGCAGUGGGGAAUAUUGCACAAUGGGCGAAAGCCUGAUGCAGCAACGCCGCGUGAGUGAUGAAGACCUUCGGGUCGUAAAACUCUGUCCUCAAGGAAGAUAAUGACGGUACUUGAGGAGGAAGCCCCGGCUAACUACGUGCCAGCAGCCGCGGUAAUACGUAGGGGGCUAGCGUUAUCCGGAUUUACUGGGCGUAAAGGGUGCGUAGGUGGUCUCUUAAGUCAGGAGUGAAAGGCUACGGCUUAACCGUAGUAAGCUCUUGAAACUGGGAGACUUGAGUGCAAGAGAGGAAAGUGGAAUUCCUAGUGUAGCGGUGAAAUGCGUAGAUAUUAGGAGGAACACCAGUAGCGAAGGCGGCUUUCUGGACUGUAACUGACACUGAGGCACGAAAGCGUGGGGAGCAAACAGGAUUAGAUACCCUGUAGUCCACGCCGUAAACGAUGAGUACUAGGUGU
rnacentral:rRNA from 1 species